rnacentral:misc_RNA from 1 species
UAAUAAGUGUUUUAUGGCACUUUUUAAAUCCAUAUCCACCUUGUGUGCAAUGUCAGUCGAUCUUCUUCAUGGAGAUCGGCCAAACAUCAACCUUUAUCUUUUAACUCUUUGUCUGAAAAAUAUUAUGAAUAAACAAUUCAAAAUA